rnacentral:rRNA from 1 species
AACGUAGGAGGCGAGCGUUAUCCGGAUUUACUGGGCGUAAAGCGCGUGCAGGCGGUUCGGCAAGUUGGGUGUGAAAUCUCCCGGCUCAACUGGGAGGAGUCGCUCAAUACUACCGGACUUGAGGGCAGUAGAGGAAGGUGGAAUUCCCGGUGUAGUGGUGAAAUGCGUAGAUAUCGGGAGGAACACCAGUGGCGAAAGCGGCCUUCUGGACUGUACCUGACGCUCAUACGCGAAAGCUAGGGGAGCGAACGGG